rnacentral:rRNA from 1 species
AUUGAACGCUUGCGGCAGGCCUAACACAUGCAAGUCGAGCGAGCGGCGGACGGGUUAGUAAUGUAUGGGGACUGCCCGAUAGAGGGGGCUCACUACUGGACACGGUGGCUAAUACCGCAUACUAUCGGCUAACACAUAUGGGAUUGGCUAGUAGGUGGGGUAAAGGCUCACCGAGGCGACGAUUUCUAGCUGGUCUGAGAGGAGGAUCAGCCACACUGAGACUGUGACACGGCCCAGACUCCUACGGAGGCAGCAGGGGGGAAUAUUGCCCACUGGGGGCAAGCCUGAUGCAGCCAUGCCGCGUGUAUGAAGAAGGCCUUAGGGUUGUAAAGUACUUUCAGCGGGGAGGCGUUACCCGCAGAAGAAGCACCGGCUAACUCCGUGACAGCAGCCGCGGUAAUAC